rnacentral:rRNA from 1 species
AUUGAACGCUGGCGGCAUGCCUUACACAUGCAAGUCGAACGGCAGCGCGGGAGCAAUCCUGGCGGCGAGUGGCGAACGGGUGAGUAACAUAUCGGAACGUGCCCUGGAGUGGGGGAGUAACUAGUCGAAAGAUUAGCUAAUACCGCAUACGCUCUGUGGAGGAAAGUGGGGGAUCGCAAGACCUCAUGCUCGUGGAGCGGCCGAUAUCUGAUAGCUAGUUGGUAGGGUAAAAGCCUACCAAGGCGACGAUCAGUAGCUGGUCUGAGAGGACGACCAGCCACACUGGGACUGAGACACGGCCCAGACUCCUACGGGAGGCAGCAGUGGGAAUUUUGGACAAUGGGGCAACCCUGAUCCAGCAAUGCCGCGUGAGUGAUGAAGG